UUCAACACAUUUAAUUAACACACAUCUGACUCAGUGUGCAAGGUUUCUGCGAGUGACAAAUUUUUAGGAAGAC